UGGUUCUGGCAUCGAUGAAGAACGCAGCGAAAUGCGAUACGUAAUGUGAAUUGCAGAAUUCAGUGAAUCAUCGAAUCUUUGAACGCACAUUGCGCCCAUUAGUAUUCUAGUGGGCAUGCCUGUUCGAGCGUCAUUUCAACCCUUAAGCCUAGCUUAGUGUUGGGAAUCUACUGAGCGGAGCUACCCUGUAGCUACCCUGUAGCUCCCUAAAUUGAACGGCGGAUCCGCAGUAUCCUCUGAGCGUAGUAAAUUUUUAUCUCGCUUUUGUUAGGUGCUGCAGCUCUUGCCGCAAAACCCCCAAUUUUUAAUGGUUGACCUCGGAUCAGGUAGGAAUACCCGCUGA
rnacentral:misc_RNA from 1 species